UACGUAGGGUGCGAGCGUUAAUCGGAAUUACUGGGCGUAAAGCGUGCGCAGGCGGCUUUGUAAGACAGGUGUGAAAUCCCCGGGCUUAACCUGGGAACUGCGCUUGUGACUGCAAGGCUGGAGUGUGGCAGAGGGGGGUGGAAUUCCACGUGUAGCAGUGAAAUGCGUAGAGAUGUGGAGGAACACCGAUGGCGAAGGCAGCCCCCUGGGUCAACACUGACGCUCAUGCACGAAAGCGUGGGUAGCAAACAGG
rnacentral:rRNA from 1 species